UAGGCACUGAGCCAGUCACUGGAGAGGUGGCUACUAGCACCUUAUGUUUUACAAACAUCAAUUGCUUCUGAUUAAGUUGAACCUCACACUACGCCUGCCUCCCACCAGCUCCCAUUCGAGCUUCUCCCUCCUGCUACAUUAUGUCUCCAAAGUCAAGAAGACAGCCACGCUGGGGUAUGAUUUCUAUCUACCCUUCAAGUUCUAUCUCCAGCCUGCCUGCCUCUGAAACUCUCUUUGAGCGUCUUACUUUAUCCUUCCCCACGGUUAUCUACUUCUGGCAAAUGUGGAUUUUGUGUUGCAGUUAUUGUUAGAAGGUGUCAGUCUGCAUCAGGAAGUCUCCUGGCUCCGUUGCUCCCACCGCCCAGGCAGAGCGUUAUCUCACUUAAAACACGCCAAGCUGAAUAACCUUGAACACAAACCCUUUCAUUCCGUACGUGAUCUCAGGAUGGCACAGGGAAAUAGAGAAGAAUGACUAAAGUAUGCACAGGUGGCAUCAGAGACAAGAAGAGGGCAUUGGGUCCUUCACAGCGGCUCUCAUUUCCAUGUGCAGUUCCUUCUGGAGCCAGCACGACAACCCAGCUGCUUCUCUCUCAGGAACCUGGUGCAUUCCUGCUGAUUUGCAACCUGAAAGGGUGAACCAGCUGCAAGGGAGGCUUCUGAUAGCACAGGCUUCAACUACAACCAAUUGCUGAGGAAUUCUGGGAGGUUUAAUACAUGAAAUCAUUCUAAUUACACAAGAUGAACUCAGAAAAGCUUUCCACUCCAAUUUUAUGGCUGUUUCAUUGCAGGAAAGGUUGAAAGUGUGGGGAGUAAAAAAAGCAAGAUUCUUUCAUUGACUUCCCAUUUUGUUGGAAUAUUAAGAGCUGGGCCAUUACAAAAAUAAAUGAAUGGAUGAGAAACUGCUAC
rnacentral:lncRNA from 1 species